rnacentral:hammerhead_ribozyme from 1 species
GUCCAGCUGACGAAUCCCGAAAUAGGACGAAACGCGCGUCGAACUGAAU